AUUUGAUAAGAGCCGUUUAGAGGUUAAAAUAAUAAAGAUAAAUAUCAAAUAUGUACGAUGCUCAAAUGAACAUACAUUGGAAAUCUUAAAUCUGUAACAAUUCAUUCAUAAUAGAGAAGAACAAUAAUUAGGGAAAAAAAAAAUUAAAUUAAGAGGUUUAAAAUGUUUACACUGGCUCCUAAAGAUAGAUACAGCCCUAUUGUAUCAAAACUUAACUUAUUUACAGUAUUUUAUCUUCCAGUAUUAUCAUUUAUUAUUUAUCUCACGGAUAAUCAUUUCAAACUUGCUAAAUUUGAAAACUUCGCCAUUGUAUCGGUGCUUGCUGGCUUGGAAAUAACCAAAUAUUACUUUUUCAAAAAAGCUAUUUCAGACCAAGAUGCUAAAAUAAAACAGAAGAAAUUUUCUAAACUGGAAAGAGUAUGGAAAGUUGUUACAUUUAAUUUACAGAUGUUAAGCCUGAUAUACAUUGUUAUUGUAUUAUUAGGAGCACAAUUAUUUAACAAAUUCCAGGAAACAUUUAUGCUUUCUGUUCUAUUAAUGUCGUUAGCUAUUCUUCCUGUAGUUUUAUAUAUAGAAGUUGAUGAUAUAUUUCAGUUACUUGGGAUCAUUACAAUGGCACCUGUUAAUUCUUAUUUUAAUAUGUUUGUGCUCCAACUCAAAACAACAUUAGUUGGGGCUUGGUUAGGAGCAGCAGUCAUACCUUUAGAUUGGAAUAGAAAUUGGCAUACUUGGCCUAAUUCCUGUAUAUAUGGGUCACUCUUAGGAUUUUAUGUGUCCAAUGCUUAUUUCUAUGCAGUUCAUUCAACCAAUAUUUUGGUUAAAAAUAAGAAAAACCAAAAAUUUAGAAAUAUUCUGUAGCAUGCUGAAUAAAAUCACAGUUUUUGUUA